rnacentral:piRNA from 1 species
UGGAAAAGCUAAACUAGAGCCCAGUGCUGG